CCUACGGGGGGCUGCAGUGGGGAAUAUUGGACAAUGGGGGAAACCCUGAUCCAGCAAUGCCGCGUGUGUGAAGAAGGCCUGCGGGUUGUAAAGCACUUUCGGUUGGGAAGAAAAGUUUGGCGCCAAUACCGCCGAACCUUCACGUUACUGACAGAAGACGCACCGGCUAACUCUGCGCCAGCAGCCGCGGUUAUACAGAGGGUGCAAGCGUGCGUCGGGCGUGCGUGGGGGGUCAUGUAAGUCGGUUGUGAAAUCCCCGGGCUUAACCUGGGAACUGCAUUCGAUACUACAUGGCUAGAGUAUGGUAGAGGGAAGUGGAAUUUCCGGUGUAGCGGUGAAAUGCGUAGAUAUCGGAAGGAACACCAAUGGCGAAGGCAGCUUCCUGGACUAAUACUGACACUGAGGCACGAAAGCGUGGGUAGCAAACAGGAUUAGAUACCCGUGUAGUC
rnacentral:rRNA from 1 species